rnacentral:rRNA from 1 species
GAACUGCGAAUGGCUCAUUAAAUCAGUUAUCGUUUAUUUGAUAGUACCUUACUACUUGGAUAACCGUGGUAAUUCUAGAGCUAAUACAUGCUAAAAACCUCGACUUUUGAAGGGGUGUAUUUAUUAGAUAAAAAACCAAUGCCCUUCGGGGCUUUUUGGUGAUUCAUGAUAACUUAACGAAUCGCAUGGCCUUGCGCCGGCGAUGGUUCAUUCAAAUUUCUGCCCUAUCAACUUUCGAUGGUAGGAUAGUGGCCUACCAUGGUUUCAACGGGUAACGGGGAAUUAGGGUUCGAUUCCGGAGAGGGAGCCUGAGAAACGGCUACCACAUCCAAGGAAGGCAGCAGGCGCGCAAAUUACCCAAUCCCGACACGGGGAGGUAGUGACAAUAAAUACUGAUACAGGGCUCUUUUGGGUCUUGUAAUUGGAAUGAGUACAAUUUAAAUCCCUUAACGAGGAACAAUUGGAGGGCAAGUCUGGUGCCAGCAGCCGCGGUAAUACCAGCUCCAAUAGCGUAUAUUAAAGUUGUUGCAGUUAAAAAGCUCGUAGUUGAACCUUGGGCCUGGCUGGCCGGUCCGCCUCACCGCGUGCACUGGUUUCGCCGGGCCUUUCCUUCUGGAGUACUUGCAUGCUAUUUACUUAGUGUGUAAGGAACCAGAACUUUUACUUUGAAAAAAUUAGAGUGUUCAAAGCAGGCCUUUGCUCGAAUACAUUAGCAUGGAAUAAUAGAAUAGGACGUGCGAUCCUAUUUUGUUGGUUUCUAGGACCGCCGUAAUGAUUAAUAGGGAUAGUCGGGGGCAUCAGUAUUCAAUUGUCAGAGGUGAAAUUCUUGGAAUUAUUGAAGACUAACUACUGGGAAAAGAUUUGCCAAGGAAGUUUUCAUUAAUCACGGAACGAAAGUUAGGGGAUCGAAGACGAUCAGAUACCGUCGUAGUCUUAACCGUAAACUAUGCCGACUAGGGAUCGGGCGAUGUUAUUAUUUUGACUCGCUCGGCACCUUACGAGAAAUCAAAGUCUUGCUC